CAAAUAGUAGUUUAUAAAAAACAAUAGACUUGGAUUCUAUAGAAUACUCUUGUACUAUCUGA
rnacentral:tRNA from 1 species